UCGGCAUACUGCUCAGUAACACGUGGAUAACCUGCCCUAUCGUCUGGAAUAACCUCGGGAAACUGAGAAUAAGGCCGGAUAGUUCACAAUGCCUGGAACGGUUUGUGAAUCAAGGUAGGAUGGGUCUGCGGCGUAUCAGGUUGUAGGGGGUGUAAAGGACCCCCUAGCCUUCGACGCGUACGGGUGUUGGGAGACAUAGCCCGGAGAUGGAUUCUGAGACACGAAUCCAGACCCUACGGGGUGCAGCAGGCGCGAAAACUUCACACUGCAGGAAACUGUGAUGAGGGAACUCCUAGUGCAUGCACUAUGUGUAUGUAGAUCCUACUCUUAACAAGUAGAGGGAAAGGGCUGGGAAAGACCGGUGCCAGCCGCCGCGGUAAUACCGGCAGCUCAAGUGGUCGUCGCUUUUAUUGGGCCUAAAACGUCCGUAGCCUGUUUGGUAAAUCUGUGGGUAAAUCAAUCCGCUCAACGGAUUGAAUUCUGCAGAGACUGCCAGACUAGGGACCGGGAGAGGUGUGGGGUACUCGAGGGGUAGGGGUAAAAUCCUGUCAUCCUUCGAGGACCACCAGUUGCGAAGGCGCCACACUGGAACGGAUCCGACGGUCAGGGACGAAGCCUAGGGGCACGAACCGGAUUAGAUACCCGGGUAGUCCUAGGUGUAAACGCUGUGAACUUGGUGUCGGGGGUCCGCAAGGGGUCCCCGGUGCCGGAGUGAAGAUGUUAAGUUCACUGCCUGGGGAGUACGGUCGCAAGGCUGAAACUUAAAGGAAUUGGCGGGGGAGCACUGCAACGGGAGGAGCGUGCGGUUUAAUU
rnacentral:rRNA from 1 species